GAGGCAGACUAAGUCCCCAUCCUCAUGGAGCUUCAGGAACAGCAGUGGUGACAUACAGUAAACAAGAGUGUGAACACGUGUGGUGUGAUUUCAUGUGGAGAUGGUGCUAUAAGGAUGAGUAGAGCAGGAUAGGCCGGGCAUGGUGCCUCACGCCUGGAAUCCCAGCACUUUGGAGGGCUGAGGCAGGCAGACCAUUUGAGGUCAAGAGUUUGAGACCAGCCUGGCCAACAUGGUGAAACCCCGUCUCUACAAAAAAAUACAAAAAAAAGUACCCAGGCAUGGUGACAUGUGCCUGCAGGUCCCAGUUACUUGGGAGGCUGAGACAGGAGAAUCGCUUGGAUCCAGGAGGUGGAGGUUGCAGUGAGCUGAGGUCACACCACUGCACUCCAGCCUAGAAAGCAGAGAGAGACCCUGUCUCAAAAAAAAAAAAAAAGAGUAAAGCAGGAUACAGAAUUGGAGUGACAGAGUAUGCUCUUUUGAAAGAUGGUCAAGGUAGGUUCAAUUAGAAACCUACCUAACGAAGGCAGCAACACAUGCCAAGAUGUGGGCGGAGAGCAUUUCAGGAGAGGACGCAGCAAGUGUGAAGGCUCUGGGUGGAAAUGAGCUUGGUGUGCUCCAGGAAAAGCAAGAAGCCAAGAAAGCCUGGACUGCAGAGUGUUUGGGAGUCAGUAAGAGGAGGCAGAGCCUGAGAAGCAGGCAGGGUACCUUGUGCAGGACCUUAAAGCAUACGGGUUUGCAGGGAAGACAGUGAAGUAAUGCUACUCCGUUUCCUGGAUCCUCUAUCACUAUAUCAGAUGGAGUCUUGCUCUGUCCCCAGGCUGGAGUGCCCUGGCGCGAUCUCAACUCACUACAACCUCUGCCUCCCGGGUUCAAGAAAUCCUCUUACCACAGCCUCCUGAGUAGCUGAGAUUACAGGCAUGCAUCACCAUGCCAGGCUAAUUUUUCUAUUUUUGGUACAAAUGGGGUUUCACCAUGUUGGCCAGGCUUGUCUCGAAUUCCUGGCCUCAAGUGAUUUAGCCUCGCGGCGUCCCACAGUGCUGGGAUUACAGGCAGGAGCCACCACACCUGGCCUAGGGCACGUCCUUUCUAUAUAAAUUUUAGAAUGAGCUUAUCUAUAUCUACAAAAAAGCCUUGCUGAGAUUUUAAUAGGAAUUGCCUUAAACCUACAGAUUGAUUUGGAGAGAACUGAUAUCUUUACUAUGUUGAAUCUUCCAAUUCAUGAACAUAAGAUAUUUUUCCACUUAUUUAAGC
rnacentral:lncRNA from 1 species